UAAAGAAAUGCAGCACAGACCCCAUUGUCUAGGAUGCCUUCUCUUGUUGCUUGUUUGGCUUUGCCAUCAAUGUCACUAUGAAGACAAAUUGCAGAUGAGUGCAACACAAGUAUCUCAUGACUUGACAUUACACCAGGAGAUUCACAGAAAUAGUGAGUGCAAUAAAAUAUAGGUCAUGUGCUCAACAGCUGGAUGUACAUGCAAGUACACACAAAGAUUUUGUCCAGGGUUGCAAAAAAGAAUCAAACACAUAUUUGGAAAAGAAAUGAUCUGCCAUAAACUCCAUACACCUCACCCCAAAAAGAGAAUCCUCACAAUCUCAACUCCAGACCAUGAUCUACAGCCUUGUCAUGGUCUGAAAACUAAGACAACCAAGACAAAACUAAGGCAUAGAUUGUGAGUUUGAAAGGCUUUCCCCCUUAAUGCAACAGAGAAAAAGUCUCUCUGUGGGAAGAACCCCUCAGGUGUUUAGGACUGUCUUUGAAGCUGUAAGAACUCACAGAUACAUAGAAGAGGCUGUACAGCACCUAACAUUGUCAGAAAAUCUUAAGGUAAGCAUACAUGAGAUAGAAAAGGAGCUGGGUGCAUUAUUCUUCCAUUCUGUAGCA
rnacentral:lncRNA from 1 species